GAAGCCCAGCUUGCUGGGUGGAUUAGUGGCGAACGGGUGAGUAACACGUGAGUAACCUGCCCUUGACUCUGGGAUAAGCACUGGAAACGGUGUCUAAUACCGGAUAUUUCAGCUGGCCGCAUGGUCUGGUUGUGGAAAGAAUUUUGGUCAAGGAUGGACUCGCGGCCUAUCAGGUUGUUGGUGAGGUAAUGGCUCACCAAGCCUACGACGGGUAGCCGGCCUGAGAGGGUGACCGGCCACACUGGGACUGAGACACGGCCCAGACUCCUACGGGAGGCAGCAGUGGGGAAUAUUGCACAAUGGGCGAAAGCCUGAUGCAGCAACGCCGCGUGAGGGACGACGGCCUUCGGGUUGUAAACCUCUUUUAGUAGGGAAGAAGCGAAAGUGACGGUACCUGCAGAAAAAGCACCGGCUAACUACGUGCCAGCAGCCGCGGUAAUACGUAGGGUGCAAGCGUUGUCCGGAAUUAUUGGGCGUAAAGAGCUCGUAGGCGGUUUGUCGCGUCUGCUGUGAAAACUGGAGGCUCAACCUCCAGCCUGCAGUGGGUACGGGCAGACUAGAGUGCGGUAGGGGAGAUUGGAAUUCCUGGUGUAGCGGUGGAAUGCGCAGAUAUCAGGAGGAACACCGAUGGCGAAGGCAGAUCUCUGGGCCGUAACUGACGCUGAGGAGCGAAAGCAUGGGGAGCGAACAGGAUUAGAUACCCUGGUAGUCCAUGCCGUAAACGUUGGGAACUAAAUGUGGGGGCCAUUCCACGGUCUCCGUGUCGCACUAACGCAUNANUUCCCCCCUGGGGAGUACGGCCCCAGGCUAAACUCAAAGGAUUGACGGGGCCCNCACANCGNCGGACCNGCGAUUAUUCNAUGCCA
rnacentral:rRNA from 1 species